rnacentral:rRNA from 1 species
CCUACGGGAGGCAGCAGUGGGGGAUAUUGCACAAUGGGGGAAACCCUGAUGCAGCGACGCCGCGUGAGUGAAGGAGCAAUUCGUCACGUAAAGCUCUAUCAGCAGGGAAGAAAAUGACGGUACCUGAGCAAGAAGCCCCGGCUAACUACGUGCCAGCAGCCGCGGUAAUACGUAGGGGGCAAGCGUUAUCCGGAUUUACUGGGUGUAAAGGGAGCGUAGACGGCAGUGCAAGCCUGGAGUGAAAGGCGGGGGCGCAACCCCCGGACUGCUCUGGAAACUGUACGGCUGGAGUGCAGGAGGGGUAGGUGGAAUUCCUAGUGUAGCGGUGAAAUGCGUAGAUAUUAGGAGGAACACCAGUGGCGAAGGCGGCCUACUGGACUGUGACUGACGUUGAGGCUCGAAGGCGUGGGGAGCAAACAGGAUUAGAUACCCGGGUAGUC